CUCAUAAAGCUUGUCGGAGAGAUUACGAAAAACGGAGGAGGGAAUAAUUGAAAGCGCGUCGGCCAUGUCCGUAGAAACACCAAAACCCUGAGGAUCCCCGUCACUUAGAUGUAAAUUCCUGAAAGGAAUCAGAAGUCAAAUUCUUUUCCUGAUCUUCUCCUGUUCGAAUCUAAACAUUUUCGUUCACUUCCACUUCUAUUAGGGUUCGCAGCACAGAGAGAUCAGAAGAAGACGAAGAAAUUAUUAAGGGAAAUCAGAUCCGAGAGAAGAAGGAGAGCAAUCGACAGUGAUGAAAAUGCAACCUUAUUUUGAGAGGGAGGAGGUCGCUCGUUCGUUC
rnacentral:misc_RNA from 1 species